UACGUAGGGUCCGAGCGUUGUCCGGAAUUACUGGGCGUAAAGAGCUCGUAGGUGGUUUGUCGCGUUGUUCGUGAAAACUCACAGCUCAACUGUGGGCGUGCGGGCGAUACGGGCAGACUAGAGUACUGCAGGGGAGACUGGAAUUCCUGGUGUAGCGGUGAAAUGCGCAGAUAUCAGGAGGAACACCGGUGGCGAAGGCGGGCUCUGGGCCCGAUACUGACGCUGAGGACGAAAGCGUGGGGAGCAAACAGG
rnacentral:rRNA from 1 species